UCCCUGCUGGCUCAGAUGGUAAAGCGUCUGCCUACAAUGCGGGUAGACCCAGGUUCAAUCCCUGGGUCAGGAA
rnacentral:tRNA from 1 species